GUGCUCACUUUGACAGUACAUGUACUAAAAUUGGGUUGAUACAGAGAAAAUUAUCAGUGUGGCUUCUGCUCAGGGAUGACAUGCAAAUUUGUGAAGUGUUCUGUAUUUUU